rnacentral:rRNA from 1 species
CCUACGGGAUGCAGCAGUGGGGAAUAUUGCGCAAUGGGCGAAAGCCUGACGCAGCGAAGCCGCGUGAGGGAUGAAGGUCUUCGGAUCGUUAACCUCUGUCAGCAUGGGAGAACGGUCACUGUGCUAAUCAGCAGUGAAUUGACGGUACCUGCAAAGGAAGCACCGGCUCACUCCGUGCCAGCAGCCGCGGUGAUACGUAGGGGGCAAGCGUUAUCCGGAUUUACUGGGUGUAAAGGGAGCGUAGACGGAAUUUUAAGUCUGAUGUGAAAAUUCGGGGCCCAACCCCGGAAGUGCAUUGGAAGCUGGAUUUCUUGAGUGCCGUAGAGGCAAGUGGAAUUCCUGGUGUAGCGGUGAAAUGCGUAGAUAUCAGGAGGAACACCAGUGGCGAAGGCGGCUUGCUGGACGAUGACUGACGUUGAGGCUCGAAAGCGUGGGGAGCAAACAGGAUUAGAUACCCCAGUAGUC